UCCAUCUAUUCUGGACAAAAUAAAAGGAGAGAAACAAACAAACAAAAAAUCAAAAAGACAAAAUGAUCCUUUUUGAUACAGAACAACAAAUCUCAAAGCAGUUUUAGAGUUUAGGACUGCUCAAUUGCUUUCUUCAUAUACUAUCAAGCUGGACUGACAGUUUGAUUUUCCAUAACAGAGAGAAAUACUAGGUUUUCAACAGAGUUGCCGGGACCCAACUUACUUUUCCCACCAGUUAAGAAGAAGAAGGGCCCUUACAGGAAGAACAGAAAACUGCUGUUUUUGUCAUUUCUGAUGUCUUCCACUUACAACUAACAACAAGCGCAUAUGAUAAAAAAGGAGUUCCAGAUUCUGAGUUCUGAUUGCGCGAAUGAUCUCUUUUCAUGUCUAAAAUUCACUGAAAGUAUGAAUGGGGUCACUUUG